AGCUAUUAGGUUGGUAGAAAAGUAAUUGUGGUUUUCCACAUUACUUAAAAACAGUGGCCAAAACCUCAAUUACUUUUGCACCAACCUAAUA
rnacentral:miRNA from 1 species